rnacentral:rRNA from 1 species
UGGGGAAUAUUGCACAAUGGGCGCAAGCCUGAUGCAGCCAUGCCGCGUGUGUGAAGAAGGCCUUCGGGUUGUAAAGCACUUUCAGCGAGGAGGAAGGUGGUGAGCUUAAUACGCUCAUCAAUUGACGUUACUCGCAGAAGAAGCACCGGCUAACUCCGUGCCAGCAGCCGCGGUAAUACGGAGGGUGCAAGCGUUAAUCGGAAUUACUGGGCGUAAAGCGCACGCAGGCGGUUUGUUAAGUCAGAUGUGAAAUCCCCGGGCUCAACCUGGGAACUGCAUUUGAAACUGGCAAGCUAGAGUCUCGUAGAGGGGGGUAGAAUUCCAGGUGUAGCGGUGAAAUGCGUAGAGAUCUGGAGGAAUACCGGUGGCGAAGGCGGCCCCCUGGACGAAGACUGACGCUCAGGUGCGAAAGCGUGGGGAGCAAACAAGAUUAGAUACCCUGGUAGUCCACGCUGUAAAACGAUGUCGAUUUUGGAGGUUGUGCCCUUGAGGCGUGGCUUCCGGAGCUAACGCGUUAAAUCGACCGCCUGGGGAGUACGGCCGCAAGGUUAAAACUCAAAGGAAUUG